rnacentral:rRNA from 1 species
GACAUAGGUGGCGAACGUUAUCCGGAAUUAUUGGGCGUAAAGGGCGCGUAGGCGGGUCAUUAAGUUUGUUGUUAAAUCCUCUGGCUUAACCAGAGACAAGCAAUAAAAACUGGUAACCUAGAGCGUGAGAGAGAGAAGUGGAAUUCCCGGAGUAGCGGUAAAAAUGCGUAGAUCUCGGGAGGAACACCAAUGGCGAAGGCUGCUUCUUGGCUCAUUGCUGACGCUGAGGCGCGAAAGCUAGGGGAGCAAACAGG